CGAAUUUGUUUUACAACACACCAGUUCAUGUGUAAACAGUACCUUUAAACAGUAUGGACUAUUUUGCAAAAUCAAGUUUAGAACAGUUGCCUGAAGUGAGUGGCUAUAUUUACACUAGUCAAAAAGUUGAAAGCAAGUAUAGAUCAUUACAGUUUCAUUAAAUAAAGUCUUUUACUCUGAUGCGAUAUCUGUAUGUUGAAAUAAGUAAGUAAUGGAGCACAGAUGCUGGUCUAGACAGUGUCCGCUGUAUUCGAAUGUCACUCAUAUUAGAGUUGUUCUUCCAAAUGUCCUUUAAUCCAGAAGAAGAAAUGUUCGUCUUAGAAACUCUAGAUUCAAGCUACAUUGAAACGUUAUAUUUGGUGACCAAGCCCAGAUUUCUCGAACCAAACUUAAGUCUGAGAUUUGACUUAAGUACGAGUUUUUACUCAAAUGGGAGAAAAUGCAUUUCCCAAAAUGAGUGAGUUAUAUAAUCCACUGCCACAUUGUACCAACAUUCACCUGUUAAACUCUAUGUGUUUAGUGUAGACUAAACAGGGAGUGUAUGUUUCUUCAGGUGGUUAAUGUGUUUCUGUUACAAACUUUGAAGCCAACCAGUGGACACAGUGAAUUUAGUAAACCAUUAUGACAUUACUAGAAAGUGGCCAGCAGUUUCUUUUGGAUUUUACAGCAACUGGCCAGUCAGAAAGCUCACUUCGGUAACAAAUAAUGAUAAAGAUACAAGGACUAUUCCACAAAGUAACUUAUCACUAAGGUGAUCGUAACUCGCAUACUUUAACAUUGGCCUUCAAUGGUUGCAUCACUAGGACUGAAUUGUGGGCUGGACCCAAUGUUACAGUGUACAAGGUCUUCGCCUUGGGUCUGUUCCCCAAUAUGUAGCCCCUGUGAAGAUCCAGGUUAGAAUUGGUCUUCAGUAACCCAUGCUUGUUGUAAGAAGCGACUAAUGGGAUCGGGUCAUCAGGCUUGCUGACUUGGUUAUCCCAGUAUGACCCUGCUCUAGGAAACUAUAUUAAGACAUCUGUGACUGCCAUACUGUAACACCACAUGGAAUAGGAGCCAAAUCUCCUGAAUUACUGGAGAAAGUU